rnacentral:lncRNA from 1 species
GAAGAAUUGCACUUUGAAAUGCAAGAUAAGAAUACUUGAGGUACUACCACAAGAAUAUUGAAGAACGCCUUGAGAAAGAAUUGAAUGCUUAAGAACCACCAUGAUGCACCUCUAGAAUAGAAGGAUGAUAGAAUAGAAUUGAGGCUUGAGAAAAUAGUAACAUUGAGGCCAUGCAAAGAUUUAGAUGAAGCUUUGCGAAGAGAUACUUGAGAAAACUUGGAGCUCUGAAAAAAGAAAUGAACAACA